rnacentral:rRNA from 1 species
AUGAUGUUUGAGCAUGUACUUUUUUUGAGUGUCUAUUUAUUUUCGAUUGGUAUCUAUGGAUUGAUCACAAGCCGAAACAUGGUUAGAGCUCUAAUAUGUCUUGAACUUAUACUGAAUUCAAUUAAUCUAAAUCUCGUAACAUUUUCUGAUCUAUUUGAUAGUCGCCAAUUAAAAGGAGAUAUUUUCGCAAUUUUUGUUAUAGCCCUUGCGGCUGCUGAAGCCGCUAUUGGACUAUCCAUUCUUUCUUCCAUCCAUCGUAAUAGGAAAUCCACUCGUAUCAAUCAAUCUAAUUUAUUGAAUAAUUAG